rnacentral:rRNA from 1 species
GGGAAUUUUGCGCAAUGGGCGAAAGCCUGACGCAGCAACGCCGCGUGAGUGAUGAAGGCCUUCGGGUCGUAAAGCUCUGUCAGAGGGGAAGAACCACCUGUAGGUUAAUAUCCGGCAGGCCUGACGGUACCCUCAAAGGAAGCACCGGCUAACUCCGUGCCAGCAGCCGCGGUAAUACGAAGGGAGCAAGCGUUGUUCGGAUUUACUGGGCGUAAAGGGUGCGUAGGCGGCGCGUCAAGUCACUUGUGAAAUCUCCGGGCUUAACUCGGAACGGCCAAGUGAUACUGUCGUGCUAGAGUGCGGAAUGGGCAACUGGAAUUCUUGGUGUAGCGGUGAAAUGCGUAGAUAUCAAGAGGAACACCUGAGGCGAAGGCGAGUUGCUGGGCCGACACUGACGCUGAGGCACGAAAGCCAGGGGAGCGAA